rnacentral:rRNA from 1 species
UACGUAGGGUGCGAGCGUUGUCCGGAAUUACUGGGCGUAAAGGGCUCGUAGGCGGCCAACUAAGUCAGACGUGAAAUCCCUCGGCUUAACCGGGGAACUGCGUCUGAUACUGGAUGGCUUGAGUUCGGGAGAGGGAUGCGGAAUUCCAGGUGUAGCGGUGAAAUGCGUAGAUAUCUGGAGGAAUACCGGUGGCGAAGGCGGCAUCCUGGACCGACAUUGACGCUGAUGAGCGAAAGCUAGGGGAGCAAACGGG